AGAGCGAACGCUGGCGGCAUGCUUAACACAUGCAAGUCGCACGGUCAGGUUUCGGCCUGGUAGUGGCGGACGGGUGAGUAACGCGUAGGUAUCUAUCCGAAGGUGGGGGAUAACGGCGGGAAACUGCUGCUAAUACCGCAUAUGACCUGAGGGUCAAAGGUCGCAAGACCGCCUGUGGAGGAGCCUGCGUACGAUUAGCUUGUUGGUGGGGUAAAGGCCUACCAAGGCGACGAUCGUUAGCUGGUCUGAGAGGAUGAUCAGCCACAUUGGGACUGAGACACGGCCCAAACUCCUACGGGAGGCAGCAGUGGGGAAUAUUGGACAAUGGGGGCAACCCUGAUCCAGCAAUGCCGCGUGUGUGAAGAAGGUCUUCGGAUUGUAAAGCACUUUCGACGGGACGAUGAUGACGGUACCCGUAUAAGAAGCCCCGGCUAACUUCGCGCCAGCAGCCGC
rnacentral:rRNA from 1 species